GAACAAAUGCCUUCUACGGUUGC
rnacentral:siRNA from 1 species